UCAAAACAAUUUUCAAGUCUGAUCUGAAGUCUUCAUUAUAAUGCAAUGUGGCAUCCAGGGGAUAUGAAUGUGGAAGAGAAUCCUGCACUCACAUAGUUCUCUUUGGUUUCUACAUUUCCUCAUUACAGAGAAUAUGGUGAUGAGCUUCUAACUUCUUUUGACAUUUUUGAAAUGUCUUGGACAAUAAUAAAGAUGGAGGUUGGUCCUGGCAAGUUCUACUUGAGAAAGCACCUGCUCAGAAACAAUUCUUAUGCUUUCAUUGACUUGGGUGGAAAAAAACAGCUGUAUGGAUCUCUAAGUUUUGUGUGUAUUCUACAAACAAAAAGAUUCUCAUUUGCUCCAGGCUAAUCUUCAGUCUCCUUCCCUUCUGAGAAAAUUGAACAGGAGGGAUCACUUCUCAACUCAUUUAUGAGGCCAGGAGUACCCUGAUUCCAAAGCCAGAAAAAGACGUUACAAGAAAAG